rnacentral:rRNA from 1 species
UACGUAGGGUGCGAGCGUUGUCCGGAAUUAUUGGGCGUAAAGAGCUCGUAGGCGGUCUGUCGCGUCUGCUGUGAAAACCCGAGGCUCAACCUCGGGCCUGCAGUGGGUACGGGGCAGACUAGAGUGCGGUAGGGGAGAAUGGAAUUCCUGGUGUAGCGGUGGAAUGCGCAGAUAUCGAGGAGGAACACCGAUGGCGAAGGCAGUUCGUCUGGGCCGUAACUGACGUUGAGGAGCGGAAAGCGUGGGGAGCGAACAGGG